rnacentral:rRNA from 1 species
GGCUCAGGACGAACGCUGGCGGCGUGCCUAAUACAUGCAAGUCGAGCGGACAGAAGGGAGCUUGCUCCCGGAUGUUAGCGGCGGACGGGUGAGUAACACGUGGGUAACCUGCCUGUAAGACUGGGAUAACUCCGGGAAACCGGAGCUAAUACCGGAUAGUUCCUUGAACCGCAUGGUUCAAGGAUGAAAGACGGUUUCGGCUGUCACUUACAGAUGGACCCGCGGCGCAUUAGCUAGUUGGUGAGGUAACGGCUCACCAAGGCGACGAUGCGUAGCCGACCUGAGAGGGUGAUCGGCCACACUGGGACUGAGACACGGCCCAGACUCCUACGGGAGGCAGCAGUAGGGAAUCUUCCGCAAUGGACGAAAGUCUGACGGAGCAACGCCGCGUGAGUGAUGAAGGUUUUCGGAUCGUAAAGCUCUGUUGUUAGGGAAGAACAAGUGCAAGAGUAACUGCUUGCACCUUGACGGUACCUAACCAGAAAGCCACGGCUAACUACGUGCCAGCAGCCGCGGUAAUACGUAGGUGGCAAGCGUUGUCCGGAAUUAUUGGGCGUAAAGGGCUCGCAGGCGGUUUCUUAAGUCUGAUGUGAAAGCCCCCGGCUCAACCGGGGAGGGUCAUUGGAAACUGGGAAACUUGAGUGCAGAAGAGGAGAGUGGAAUUCCACGUGUAGCGGUGAAAUGCGUAGAGAUGUGGAGGAACACCAGUGGCGAAGGCGACUCUCUGGUCUGUAACUGACGCUGAGGAGCGAAAGCGUGGGGAGCGAACAGGAUUAGAUACCCUGGUAGUCCACGCCGUAAACGAUGAGUGCUAAGUGUUAGGGGGUUUCCGCCCCUUAGUGCUGCAGCUAACGCAUUAAGCACUCCGCCUGGGGAGUACGGUCGCAAGACUGAAACUCAAAGGAAUUGACGGGGGCCCGCACAAGCGGUGGAGCAUGUGGUUUAAUUCGAAGCAACGCGAAGAACCUUACCAGGUCUUGACAUCCUCUGACAACCCUAGAGAUAGGGCUUUCCCUUCGGGGACAGAGUGACAGGUGGUGCAUGGUUGUCGUCAGCUCGUGUCGUGAGAUGUUGGGUUAAGUCCCGCAACGAGCGCAACCCUUGAUCUUAGUUGCCAGCAUUUAGUUGGGCACUCUAAGGUGACUGCCGGUGACAAACCGGAGGAAGGUGGGGAUGACGUCAAAUCAUCAUGCCCCUUAUGACCUGGGCUACACACGUGCUACAAUGGACAGAACAAAGGGCUGCGAGACCGCAAGGUUUAGCCAAUCCCACAAAUCUGUUCUCAGUUCGGAUCGCAGUCUGCAACUCGACUGCGUGAAGCUGGAAUCGCUAGUAAUCGCGGAUCAGCAUGCCGCGGUGAAAAUACGUUCCCCGGGCCUUGUACACACCGGCCCGUCACACCACGAGAGUUUGCAACACCCGAAGUCGGUGAGGUAACCUUUAUGGAGCCAGCCGCCGAAGGUGGGGCAGAUGAUUGGGGUGAAGUCUAAGGGGGGGACC